ensembl:miRNA
UGGGUUGGCCAAGAAAUUGGUUGGAUUUUUCUGUAAUAUCUUACUGAAAAACCCAAACGGACUUUUUUUGCCAACCCAAUA